GCCAGCAGCCGCGCGGCGAUAAACACAAGUUCCCAAUAGAUCACUAGAGUUAAGCAACGUUGCGCGUGGUUAAUACACGGAUGGGUGACCAUCUGGGCACUCGCGUGCUGCUGGCU
rnacentral:rRNA from 1 species